GAUGAACGCUGGCGGCGUGCCUAAUACAUGCAAGUCGAGCGAACGGACGAGAAGCUUGCUUCUCUGAUGUUAGCGGCGGACGGGUGAGUAACACGUGGAUAACCUACCUAUAAGACUGGGAUAACUUCGGGAAACCGGAGCUAAUACCGGAUAAUAUUUUGAACCGCAUGGUUCAAAAGUGAAAGACAGUCUUGCUGUCACUCAUAGAUGGAUCCGCGCUGCAUUAGCUAGUUGGUAAGGUAACGGCUUACCAAGGCAACGAUGCAUAGCCGACCUGAGAGGGUGAUCGGCCACACUGGAACUGAGACACGGUCCAGACUCCUACGGGAGGCAGCAGUAGGGAAUCUUCCGCAAUGGGCGAAAGCCUGACGGAGCAACGCCGCGUGAGUGAUGAAGGUCUUCGGAUCGUAAAACUCUGUUAUUAGGGAAGAACAUAUGUGUAAGUAACUGUGCACAUCUUGACGGUACCUAAUCAGAAAGCCACGGCUAACUACGUG
rnacentral:rRNA from 1 species